GAUAAACGCUGGCGGCGUGCCUAACACAUGCAAGUCGAACGAUCCCGCAAGGGAGAGUGGCGGAAGGGUGAGUAACACGUGGGAAUCUACCUCCUCGCAGGGAACAACCUCUCGAAAGAGAGGCUAAUACCCAAAAGGGUCAGAAAUGAUCAGAGUCGAAAGGCGUGAGGAGAGGAGCCCGCGGCCCAUCAGCUAGUUGGUGAGGUAAUGGCUUACCAAGGCUACGACGGGUAGGGGAUCUGAGAGGAUGUCCCCCACACUGGAACUGAAACACGGUCCAGACGCCUACGGGUGGCAGCAGUGAGGAAUAUUGGACAAUGGGCGAAAGCCCGAUCCAGCAACGCCGCGUGGAGGAUGAAGGCCUUCGGGUCGUAAACUUCUUUAGAGGGAGGACGAGAAAGGACGGUAUCCCUAGAAUAAGCGACGGCAAACUACGUGCCAGCAGCCGGCGGU
rnacentral:rRNA from 1 species